GUCAUUCAUAUGGAAAAGCUGCUGCAAACAGCUUGGGUGGGGCUGCAAAUUGGAUGUGGUGCGGUCUCAGGGAAUGACCAGGGUAGAGUGAACAGUGUGGAAAACACUAGUGG